UUUCUUGGAGAACAAUUCUCCUCUUUUUUUUCUUUUCCCUUUUUUUUUCAACAAAGAAAGAUCUGGUUUUGGAUAGGGUUAGGGGACAGACGCACGGACACAAAGAAGAGAGAGAUGAACGGAUGAUGGAUU
rnacentral:ribozyme from 1 species